CGUGCUUAACACAUGCAAGUCGAGCGGAGAUUGCAUUUAUGUAAUCUUAGCGGCGGACGGGUGAGUAACGCGUAGGCAACCUGCCUUGCACAGAGGGAUAACACCGGGAAACUGGUGCUAAUACCACAUGAUAUCAUAACAAGGCAUCUUGAAAUGAUCAAAGGAGAAAUCCGGUGCAAGGUGGGCCUGCGUCCGAUUAGUUAGUUGGUGAGGUAACGGCUCACCAAGGCGACGAUCGGUAGCCGAACUGAGAGGUUGAUCGGCCACAUUGGGACUGAGACACGGCCCAGACUCCUACGGGAGGCAGCAGUGGGGAAUAUUGCGCAAUGGGGGGAACCCUGACGCAGCAACGCCGCGUGAAGGAAGAAGGCCUUCGGGUUGUAAACUUUUUUGAUUGGGGAAGAAAAAAAUGACGGUACCCAAGGAACAAGCCACGGCUAACUACGUGCCAGCAGCCGCGGUAAUACGUAGGUGGCGAGCGUUGUCCGGAAUUACUGGGUGUAAAGGGCGUGUAGGCGGGAUUGUAAGUCAGAUGUGAAAUUCCAGGGCUUAACUCUGGAGGUGCAUCUGAAACUAUAAUUCUUGAGUGCUGGAGAGGAAAGCGGAAUUCCUAGUGUAGCGGUGAAAUGCGUAGAUAUUAGGAAGAACACCAGUGGCGAAGGCGGCUUUCUGGACAGUAACUGACGCUGAGGCGCGAAAGCGUGGGGAGCAAACAGGAUUAGAUACCCUGGUAGUCCACGCUGUAAACGAUGGAUACUAGGUGUAGGAGGUAUCGACCCCUUCUGUGCCGGAGUUAACACAAUAAGUAUCCCACCUGGGGAGUACGGCCGCAAGGCUGAAACUCAAAGGAAUUGACGGGGGCCCGCACAAGCAGUGGAGUAUGUGGUUUAAUUCGAAGCAACGCGAAGAACCUUACCAGGGCUUGACAUCCCUCGGAUAACAUAGAGAUAUGUUAGUCCUUCGGGACGAGGAGACAGGUGGUGCAUGGUUGUCGUCAGCUCGUGUCGUGAGAUGUUGGGUUAAGUCCCGCAACGAUCGCAACCCCUAUUGUUAGUUGCCAUCAUUAAGUUGGGCACUCUAACGAGACUGCCGGUGACAAAUCGGAGGAAGGUGGGGACGACGUCAAAUCAUCAUGCCCCUUAUGUCCUGGGCUACACACGUACUACAAUGGUCACUACAAAGGGAAGCAAUACCGCAAGGAGGAGCAAAUCCCCAAAGGUGACCUCAGUUCGGAUUGUGGGCU
rnacentral:rRNA from 1 species